rnacentral:rRNA from 1 species
UGGGGAGUCGGCAGCCUAUACAUGCAGUCGAACGAGAUUAUCCAGCUUGCUGGAUAUGAAAGUGGCGCACGGGUGCGUAACGCGUAUGCAACCUACCUUAAUCAGGGGGAUAGCCCGAAGAAAUUCGGAUUAACACCGCAUAAAAACACAGAAUAGCAUUAUUCAAUGUUCAAAUAUUUAUAGGAUUAAGAUGGGCAUGCGUGUCAUUAGCUAGUUGGCGGGGUAACGGCCCACCAAGGCGACGAUGACUAGGGGAUCUGAGAGGAUGACCCCCCACACUGGUACUGAGACACGGACCAGACUCCUACGGGAGGCAGCAGUAAGGAAUAUUGGUCAAUGGAGGCAACUCUGAACCAGCCAUGCCGCGUGCAGGAAGACGGCCCUAUGGGUUGUAAACUGCUUUUAUCUGGGAAUAAACCUUUUUACGUGUAAGAAGCUGAAUGUACCAGAAGAAUAAGGAUCGGCUAACUCCGUGCCAGCAGCCGCGGUAAUACGGAGGAUCCAAGCGUUAUCCGGAUUUAUUGGGUUUAAAGGGUGCGUAGGCGGCCUGUUAAGUCAGAGGUGAAAGACGGUAGCUCAACUAUCGCAGUGCCUUUGAUACUGACGGGCUUGAAUAAACUAGAGGUAGGCGGAAUGAGACAAGUAGCGGUGAAAUGCAUAGAUAUGUCUCAGAACACCGAUGGCGAAGGCAGCUUACUAUGGUUUUAUUGACGCUGAGGCACGAAAGCGUGGGGAUCAAACAGGAUUAGAUACCCUGGUAGUCCACGCCCUAAACGAUGAAUACUCGCUGUUAGCGAUAUACAGUUAGCGGCUAAGCGAAAGCGUUAAGUAUUCCACCUGGGGGAGUACGCUCGCAAGAGUGAAACUCAAAGGAAUUGACGGGGGCCCGCACAAGCGGAGGAGCAUGUGGUUUAAUUCGAUGAUACGCGAGGAACCUUACCCGGGCUUGAAAGUUAGUGAAUUAUCUAGAGAUAGAUAAGUGAGCAAUCACACGAAAACUAGGUGCUGCAUGGGCUGUCCGUCAGCUCGUGCCCGUGAAGGUGUUUGGGGUUAAGUCCCCCCAACGAAGCGCCAACCCCCUAUGUUUUAGUUUGCCCACCAUGGUAAUGGAUGGGGGACUCUUAAAAAGAACUGGCCGUUGGCAAACCAAAAAGAGAAGGGAGGGGGGACAAACAUUCCAG